rnacentral:misc_RNA from 1 species
GAUGAAGAACGUAGCGAAAUGCGAUACGUAAUGUGAAUUGCAGAAUUCAGUGAAUCAUCGAAUCUUUGAACGCAUAUUGCGCUCUUUGGUAUUCCGAAGAGCAUGCUUGUUUGAGUAUCAGUAAACACCUCAAAGCUUUUGGAUUUUUUAAUCGAAAAGCUUUGGACUUGAGCAAUCCCAACACCAAUCUUUUUGAGAUCGGUGGCGGGUUGCUUGGAAUGCAGGUGCAGCUGGACAUUCUCCUGAGCUAAAAGCAUAUUCAUUUAGUCCCGUCAAACGGAUUAUUACUUUUGCUGCAGCUAACAUAAAGGGAGUUUGACCGUAUUGGCUGACUGAUGCAGGAUUUCACAAGGGUCGGCAACGAUUCUUGUUAAACUCGAUCUCAAAUCAAGUAAGACUACCCGCUGAACUUAAGCAUAUCAAUAAGCGGAGGA